GAUUUUUAUGAAAGGACAGGAGGUUAUCACUCCCCUUGACAAGGAUGGAAGAGGCCCUCAGGUCUGCACAACAUGUACGUGGUUAAGGCAUUGCCACCAACUUCAUGGCAUCUAACCAUUUUUUUCA
ensembl:snRNA